CAGCAGCCGCGGGAAUACGGAGGGUGCAAGCGUUAAUCGGAAUUACUGGGCAUAAAGCGUGCGUAGGCGGUUCGUUAAGUCUGUUGUGAAAGCCCCGGGCUCAACCUGGGAAUGGCAAUGGAUACUGGCGAGCUAGAGUGUGUCAGAGGAUGGUGGAAUUCCCGGUGUAGCGGUGAAAUGCGUAGAGAUCGGGAGGAACAUCAGUGGCGAAGGCGGCCAUCUGGGACAACACUGACGCUGAGGCACGAAAGCGUGGGGAGCAAACAGGAUUAGAUACCCGAGUAGUCCCUGUCUCUUAUAC
rnacentral:rRNA from 1 species